rnacentral:rRNA from 1 species
UACGUAGGGUGCAAGCGUUAAUCGGAAUUACUGGGCGUAAAGCGUGCGCAGGCGGCUUGUUGUGUCUGCUGUGAAAUCCCCGGGCUUAACCUGGGAACUGCGGUGGAAACUGGCAAGCUUGAGUGUGGCAGAGGGGGGUGGAAUUCCACGUGUAGCAGUGAAAUGCGUAGAGAUGUGGAGGAACACCGAUGGCGAAGGCAGCCCCCUGGGCUAACACUGACGCUCAUGCACGAAAGCGUGGGGAGCAAACAGGAUUAGAUACCCCUGUAGUCC